GCUCUCACUUCGGCAGCACACAACCAAAGUUGGAACAAUCCUGAGGAGAUUAGCAUGGCCCCUGUUCAAGAAUGAUAUACAAAUUCAUGAAGCAUUCCAUAUUUAA